UCCCACCAUAUUCCUUACCCCUUGGACCUAAACAUUGGUCUGAGUGGCAAAAAGAGGGAGGAAAAGUAAAACUGUAAUAGACUUAGAGUCUUUAGUGACAAACAAGUUCCCUUCAGGCAUAC
rnacentral:snoRNA from 1 species